rnacentral:tRNA from 1 species
GCUGACGCUGCCGUGGGUGGUGCGCCGGCUCGGGCUCGGCGGCCCGCCAGUUCCACCGCCGGCCGAGGGCGCC